GGUAGAACUCAGUGGUAGAGUUUGUGCCUAGCAUGCACGAGGUCCUGGGUUCAGUCCCCAGCACUGCCA
rnacentral:tRNA from 1 species